GCUGAGGGAAACCAGUUGGGCAAUAUUCAACAAGUGUUUAUUGAUCCCUGAUUAGGUCCCAGCCAGUGUGCAACUUCGUUUCAUAACAUUAAAAUAUGUUGCAAGUUGGCUCUGUAUGAUUAUCCCAGCAAGGGAAGAGAGCACAGAGGGGGCUGUGCCAGCAGUUGAAGAUGUCAAAGCAGACUUGUUAUAUGAGUCCACCUACCUCCAAAAAAGCUGUGGGAUCCAGCGGCUCCCAUGCCUGUGACUCUCUUUUCCUAACCCGUCCUCACAUUGCCUCUCU
rnacentral:lncRNA from 1 species